ACCCCUCCCCUUCUAUUAAUAUAACAUAAGCAUAAUCAAUUAUUCUAAUACAUCAAACAUUUGUACAGCCCCAAAUCAUGACCGCUAGGUGAAUCCUGACAUUUCCCCCUUUGAGACUAAUUAGUCUCACAGCUUCAAUCAUAAUAUUCUCCUCUGAAAUCAAAUAGAUUAGGCAUAUACCCCGGAUCCAUUUGAUCCCGGGGAUGACCUUCUAAAGGGAGAAACAACUCCUAAGGUUCCUGGAAUGCUGUUGGGGGUGGGUGAAUCUGGCUAUACUCCCAUUCCUCCUGAGUCCUGGGAAGAACCACAGAGUUAAAUAAACAAUGGGAUUAAGAGAAAUUAUAAAUGCACCAGUAUCACCUUCAGCACAAUUUGUAUCAGAUUCCACCAACACCAUCAUUCCAGCAUGUUCAAGAGCAGUUAGUCAUUUUCUUACAAAUAUAAACAGUAACCAAAAUCACCAAACCUACAAGUAUAGGAGUAAACAAAGAAAACAAAGUCAACAUAACUUUUCCCACAUUUCCAAAUUUAACAUUAAACCAGUCACCAAUUUUGUCAAAACCAGAUUUUUAAGUUUUUUAGAGAUUUACUAAGAUCAGCAAUCUUGUCAAUAAUUUCUGUCAUAUUCUCAGGAGUCAGGGAGGAGCAAAACACAAUUUUCAGGAUCAACAAUACCUAGUACGUUAGUGUCCUCCUUCCUUCGCCAAAAGAUAAUCUAAAGCCAACUCAUGGCGGCUGAUAACUGCUUUCAGAUUUUGGACAUCUAAUGAGAGUUGACUGAAUCCUCGGAUCGUUAAAUUCAUAUGGGACUGUAAAAAGUAAGUUAAAUUGUUUACCCACUUUCCUAGGACAGCCACACCCCAGGAGGGUAUGAUUGACAUACCAAAAAUCUCACCCGGGUGUGGGACAUGACAAUAGGCUUUCUGAUUGUCUGAGUUGAGGCAUUUGGCACGCUUCAGUUCCCCAGAGUUGGUUAUACCUGUUUCAUUGAAAAGAUCGGUGACUGGAAUUCUUAAAAUAUACAUUUCUGUUCUCCCCAAAUAUAAACACCCCCCCCCAUCCAGGAGGUAAAGUGAGAUACUUCUUGUCACUACAUACCCACAUCUAUCCAAAAGGUGCUCCCAUGCCUUCUUCUAUCCUGGAAAUGUUUACACCUGUCUCUUGUUACAGUAAAUCUAAUCCCCUUUAGCAUAGUUUCUCCUAUCACUAUACUCUUCUCUCAGUUGACCCAUAUAUACAUGACAAGCUCCAGUAUCUCCCAUAUCUUCCCUCUACCACAUUAGGUAAAUUUGCUCCCUUCUUGUGACCACCCCAACAUACAUGUGUCCCAUAAUCCCCAAAUGUUCAACAGUCUUUCUAGCCAAGCAUUUUAUUAUACCUAAAGCAACAACAAAACACAGUAGUCCUACCAGGAGUGGAACAAUCAUGGCAGACCUGGACAUCAUUACCUUACCCAUCACGUUUCCAAAUACACCAUUAAACCAGUGUCCAAUUUGGUAAAAGAUGGUGUUGACAGCUUUUCCCAGAGUACCUCCUAAUUUAGCCAGGUCAUUAAUAAUAACUGUCAUGUUGUCAGAGGAGUUAGGAAGCAACAUGACACAGUAAUCCUAAUCAUUUAUUCCAAGGGACCUGUAGGCCCCUCUGUCUUUAGCCAAUUUGUGCCAUUUUGUCUCUGGUCACUACUGCCUUCAAAUUCUGCAUAUUUAGUGACAACUGAGUAAAACCCUGUUUUAUGAAAUUAGUAAGGACCUGCAUGGAGUAUGUCAAAUUAUUAAUCCAUUUACCCCAUUACUACAACUUCCCAUGCUGCUUCCUUCCCCCUUUGACCAACAUCAGAAUAGUAUAAUGGCUUUUUCUUUGUCGAGCCCUAGUUUUGUUCCUUUUCAUAAAAUGUAGUAAUCUACAUCCAAAAUCAUUCUUUCCAAUUGGUACUGCCUGGGUUCCCCACAGAAAUGCUGUGGAGGUGGGUUUAUUGAAAAUCAUUACCCGUGUGCCAGAUGUGUUCCCCCUCCCCUGUAAUCCUAUGUAUGUUACUGUUUUCACCCAUUUAUUAUUCUCCACAUCCCCCGUCCACCAUGGAAACGGGUAGGAUUUGGAGAGCAAUAAAUGCCCUGCAUGUGUUUUUCCAUGGUUGCGAUUUUCUUGUUUCACAACCAUAGUGUGUGUGUGUAUGAUGGUUUCCUCGACAUCUGAUGACUCUUCAGGUUCUGUGGCUGAACCCUCUGUUGGUUCUUCUGGCCUGCUUCCUCCUUCAGAUGUCCUCGGGGCCCUGCUCUCCCUCCCUCCAGUCGCUCAUCCAUGGCUUCCAUUCUGGGAGAUAUGAUGCCAGCCGGACCUCUCCUCUACACGCAGGGCUGUUGGUGUUAUCAUGGUUACCUGGAACAGACCCAUCCAUCGUGGUUGACACCCAGCUGGCCUGCAUGAUGAGUGAGAGCAGCAUGGAUUACAUCGCCCGCUUCAACGAUUUGGCACAGGAGCUGGCUGUCACAGAGCCGCACCUCCUGCCACCUUGAGUUUAAAUAGACUGAAGGCGGGUUUAAGAAAUGUCUGUCAGUUGCCCCUCCCACACCUUCAAAAUUGCAAGGACAAAGGGGGGUGGAGAAACACUCCUUCCCCUAUAUAGUUUGUGAAAGAAAGUGCAAUGGUCAUGGCCU